AUUGAACGCUGGCGGCAGGCCUAACACAUGCAAGUCGAGCGAGCGGCGGACGGGUGAGUAAUGUCCGGGAAACUGCCUGAUGGAGGGGGAUAACUACUGGAAACGGUAGCUAAUACCGCAUACCAUCAGAUGGGCCCAGAUGGGAUUGGCUAGUAGGUGGGGGAACGGCUCACCUGGGCGACGAUCCCUAGCUGGUCUGAGAGGAUGACCAGCCCCACUGGAACUGAGGCACUGUCCAGACUCCUACGGGAGGCAGCAGUGGGGAAUAUUGCACAAUGGGCGCAGUCCUGAUGCAGCCAUGCCGCGUGUAUGAAGAAGGCCUUCGGGUUGUAAAGUACUUUCAGCGGGGAGGCGUGACCCGCAGAAGAAGCACCGGCUAACUCCGUGUCAGCAGCCGCGGUAAUUC
rnacentral:rRNA from 1 species